UUCCGCCCUCCAUUCCUCAGGCCAGAAGGGACAGGACCUAGAUCCCCAGAACCUAGAUUUCUGUCUGCUCAUCACAGGAUUCCCAUAGCAACGGUUCACUCCGGGGACCGUCCUGGACCGUCCCGGGACGCCGGGCGCAGUGAGGCCCGGGGGCGAGGAGCCAGCUAGAGGGUAACAGCUCAUGAUUCGUACCUAGCUUCUUGCAGUAAAUGAAAAUGUGAUGGAGGUUACUGCCGAACGCAGAAAGGAAGAAAAAGUGGGAAGUGGUUUAGGAGAAGCGAGGGCUGCAAGAACUGUUUUGCAACGUGUGAAGAGCAAACAGAGGGGUGGACAACUCCAGUGGCAUUGAACACAACCCAGUUCUCCAGCCACCCGGGACUGUUCUGAAACUAACCAGAACUGUGAACUUCUGUGAGAGGCAGUUGACUGGAAGAUGGGCCAGGAGAAAGGCAGGUGUGGGCUGUUUUGCAUUAUGAGUGAACAUUGCAUGCUUUUGCCAUACCCUUGGACUGAUCGACUGUCAGGACUGGAAGGGAACCUGAAAUUCAGCUGGCCUAACUAUAUUGUGUACUUACUGGUGUGGAAUUGAGUCUCCAGGAGAUGGCCUGAAUUGCUUCUAUUCACAGAGCUACUCUAGGGCAAAUCCAGACACUGGAGUCCAAGAACAUUCUUGACUGCCUGUUUAUUAAAGCAUUGUUCUACACUCUUCCUCCUGCUUUUAAAAAAGGAAAAUCUAAUUUGCUUUUAUUUAUUUC